UUGACAGCCUGGGAGAAUAACUUCUGUACUGAUAAAUCCAGAGAAUGAAUAUUAUAUUAGGAGUGAUAAUGCAAGCUCCCUUAGAGUAGCCCAUCAAUGUGUCUCUGUCCUGACCUGAAGGGGACUACCUUCAGAGACAGAGAAAGUUCAGUCUCAUUAAGCAUGCAUCUCUCAGCCUUU
ensembl:misc_RNA